GAAAUGCGAUAAGUAAUGUGAAUUGCAGAAUUCAGUGAAUCAUCGAAUCUUUGAACGCACAUUGCGCCCGCCAGUAUUCUGGCGGGCAUGCCUGUUCGAGCGUCAUUUCAACCAUCAAGCCCCGGGCUUGUGUUGGGGACCUGUGGCUGCCGCAGGCCCUGAAAAGCAGUGGCGGGCUCGCUGUCACACCGAGCGUAGUAGCAUACAUCUCGCUCUGGGCGUGCUGCGGGUUCCGGCCGUUAAACCACCUUCGUAACCAAAGGUUGACCUCGGAUCAGGUAGGAAGACCCGCUGAACUUAAGC
rnacentral:misc_RNA from 1 species